UACGGGGGGGGCAAGCGUUGUUCGGAAUUACUGGGCGUAAAGGGUUCGUAGGUGGCUUGCUAAGUCAGACGUGAAAUCCCUCAGCUUAACUGGGGAACUGCGUCUGAGACUGGAAGGCUUGAGUGCAGGAGAGGAACGCGGAAUUCCAGGUGUAGCGGUGAAAUGCGUAGAUAUCUGGAGGAACACCGGUGGCGAAGGCGGCGUUCUGGACUGCAACUGACACUGAGGAACGAAAGCCAGGGGAGCAAACGGG
rnacentral:rRNA from 1 species